CCGCCACUCAACUAAUGACACCUCAACAUUUAGAAGCUGCUAAAAAGCUAUCUGUCCAAGAGUUAAAUGUUCUUGAUCCAGAGACACAUAAGGACACUCCCAUUUUAUGCAGAGCAGCUAUUACGCGUUUUGACACACGUAACGGUUAGUGGUAUAAAGCAUGUCCAUCUUGCUUUAAACAACUUAGAACUGCUGCCCACCGUGAUGAACUUUUGUGCCCAAAACACAAUAAUCAAAUUCCUCUCCCUUGGUUCAAAGUGAGCUUGGUGCUUGAAGAUUCAACUGAUGAAACCAAUGCAAUCAUAAUUGGAAGACCAACAGAACAG